rnacentral:tRNA from 3 species
GCGAGUAUAGCUCAGCUGGUAGAGCGCGACCUUGCCAAGGUCGAGGUCACGAGUUCGAAUCUCGUUACUCGCUCCA